rnacentral:rRNA from 1 species
UACGAAGGGUGCAAACGUUGCUCGGAAUCAUUGGGCGUAAAGCGCACGUAGGCGGCUUCGCAAGUCGGAUGUGAAAUCCCAUGGCUCAACCAUGGACGUGCAUUCGAAACUGCGAAGCUUGAGUAUGGAAGAGGGUCGCGGAAUUCCCGGUGUAGAGGUGAAAUUCGUAGAUAUCGGGAGGAACACCGGUGGCGAAGGCGGCGUUCUGGACUGCAACUGACACUGAGAGACGAAAGCCAGGGGAGCAAACGGG